UGUGUGGGCAGGCGGCACGAUCAGGAUGGGCCACUCUGUCCACCCUGGUGCCAGAGAGCCUCGGCUCGAUCCUACAAACCAGGCAAGAUGUGACUCACGCAGUUUGCUUGCAAAGAAGGAGGACCAUCUGCUAGUCAUGAGCAGAUGACAAAUUCACUGCAUUGCGUCUUGUCGCUACUUCCAAAUUUGUUUUAUCCCGGAGAAGUUGUGAGUGUCCUGUCCUUGGAGUGUUCCAGGCUGGGUUGGACAGGGCUUUGAGCAACCUGGUCUAGAGAAAGGUGUCCCUGCCCAUGGCAGGGGGUUGGAACUGGAUGAUUUUUAUGGUCUCAAACCCAAACCCCUCUAUGAUACAUGACUGCCAAAAUAUCCCUUCCAAAAGAAUGAAAUAAAAGCUAUUUUAUUUUUCUCCCUA